CCUACGGGAGGCAGCGGUGGGGAAUUUUGGACAAUGGGCGAAAGCCUGAUCCAGCCAUGCCGCGUGCAGGAAGAAGGCCUUCGGGUUGUAAACUGCUUUAGUUCGGGAAAAAGGGAUGCUUGGUUAAUACCCGAGUGUUUUGAUGGUACCGGAAGAAUAAGCACCGGCUAACUACGUGCCAGCAGCCGCGGUAAUACGUAGGGUGCGAGCGUUAAUCGGAAUUACUGGGCGUAAAGCGUGCGCAGGCGGUCUUGUAAGACAGUCGUGAAAUCCCUGGGCUUAACCUAGGAACUGCGAUUGUGACUGCAAGGCUAGAGUGUGUCAGAGGGGGGUGGAAUUCCACGUGUAGCAGUGAAAUGCGUAGAGAUGUGGAGGAACACCGAUGGCGAAGGCAGCCCCCUGGGAUAACACUGACGCUCAUGCACGAAAGCGUGGGGAGCAAACAGGAUUAGAUACCCUGGUAGUCCACGCCCUAAACGAUGUCGACUGGUUGUUGGGUGGGUAACCACUUAGUAACGAAGCUAACGCGUGAAGUCGACCGCCUGGGGAGGUACGGUCGCGAGAUAAACUACAANAGAGUAGACGGCGUGAGACGUGCCGACGGACGACGACGAGGGAGGUAGG
rnacentral:rRNA from 1 species